rnacentral:rRNA from 1 species
AAUCAACGCUGGCGGCGUGCCUCAGACAUGCAAGUCGAACGAUUAAGACUUCCUUCGGGAAGUGCAUAAAGUGGCGCACGGGUGAGUAACACGUAAGUAAUCUACCCUCGAGUGGGGAAUAACGUUCGGAAACGAACGCUAAUACCGCAUAAUGCAGCGGCAUCGCAAGAUGACAGUUGUUAAAGGAGUAAUUCGCUUGAGGAGGAGCUUGCGGCAGAUUAGCUAGUUGGUAAGGUAACGGCUUACCAAGGCUACGAUCUGUAUCCGGUCUAAGAGGACGGUCGGACACACUGACACUGAAUAACGGGUCAGACUCCUACGGGAGGCAGCAGUCGGGAAUUUUGGGCAAUGGGCGAAAGCCUGACCCAGCAACGCCGCGUGAAGGAUGAAGUAUUUCGGUGUGUAAACUUCGAAAGAAUGGGAAGAAUAAAUGACGGUACCAUUUAUAAGCUCCGGCUAACUACGUGCCAGCCGCCGCCGUAACAC